rnacentral:rRNA from 1 species
CGGGGUGAGUAACGCGUGGAUAACCUGCCUUGCACUGGGGGAUAACACUUAGAAAUAGGUGCUAAUACCGCAUAAGCGCACAGAGCCGCAUGGCUCAGUGUGAAAAACUCCGGUGGUGUAAGAUGGAUCCGCGUCUGAUUAGCUAGUUGGCGGGGUAGAAGCCCACCAAGGCGACGAUCAGUAGCCGGCCUGAGAGGGUGAACGGCCACAUUGGGACUGAGACACGGCCCAAACUCCUACGGGAGGCAGCAG